rnacentral:hammerhead_ribozyme from 1 species
UCACUAGUGACGAGUCCCACAAUAGGACGAAACGGCUGUCCAGUGC